GAUGGACGACAGCAAGUACAACUACAUCCUCAGCAUUCCAGUGGUGUGGUCCAUGCUGCUCAACCUCUUCUUCCUCAUCAACAUCGUGAGAGUCCUGGUCACCAAGCUGAGAGCUGUCCACACCACCCCCUGACACUCACUCCACCAGAAAGGCUGUUCGAGCGACGUUAAUCCUGAUUCCUUUGCUGGGACUCCAUUACAUCCUGAUCCCCUUCCGGCCUUCGCCCGGGUCACCUGGAGAGGAAGUGUACCUCAUCAUCUCUGCCAUUGCCGGUUCUUUCCAGGGCCUGAGUGUGUCGCUGCUCUUCUGCUUCUUCAAUGGAGAGAAUUUCUAGAACGCCAAGACCUGAUCUGCAGAUCUGACACCAUCCAAUCUUUGUCAAAGUACGAAGCCAAGUGUAAAAGUAAAAUAAAUUCGUGAAUACUAC